GUUUUCUUCAGUGCCUCCUUAAGCGUCACGGACCACCGGAAGUGGUGGUCAUACAAUAAACACGCAAGACAUUUCCUAUUAAGCCUUUAUUUGUAUUUCAAGGUGUUGCUGAUAAAUCUUUGAAUUGAACACUGACUCUCACGGAGGAUUUAUUUAAGUUUACUGUGCAGGCAUGACAGAAGUUUAAUUCGAGAAUUCAACGUAGUCAGGUCUAAAACUGCAAAAUGGGUGUGUUACACUCAACACAGAGUAAGGAAGGCAGAAAGUGUCAGCAUGUUACAGAAGUAGUCCAAGCUGACAGCAACAGUUCUGAAGAGGAAAUAAUGACGGCAGAAAUACAUCAAGGAAAUUUGGGGAGCAUUGAGGGAGAUUCCAGUGAACACAUGUCGGACAACAGUCCCACUAAAAUAGGAGGGGGGAUGCCAGAAGGUUCAAAUAAGUUGAAGAUUUGUGUUACAGAUGAUAUUAACAUCAUGAAGCUAGUUUCAUGCAUUGCAAGCGAUGGGUCAAUCAUAAAACAAAAAGAGGAGGAAGGAUCAGGAGAUGACCAUGCUGGUAUUUCUGUUCAAACUCAAGUUUCCCAGGAACAGGCCAGUAAAGAAGACAGCCUUAGGACAGACCAAUCUCCUAAGAAAAGAGGCAGGCCGAGAAAGUCUGAGAAGCCUGAUGUUAAACACUCACCUAAGGGAGACUCUAAAACACCAAAAAGGGGUCGUCCAAAAGGAUCCACGAAGCACAAGCUAGCAUGUUUAACAAGUGAAGAGAAUGAGGGACCUGACGCUGGGGUCAGAGUUGAGCAGUGAGGAGGAGGGACGAGGAGGAGGAUGAAGGAAGCCAAAAAUCUCCAAUAAGGAAGAGAGGUCGACCCAUGAAGGUGGUAACACCGGGGGGGGCGGCACAGAACGCAUCAAAUGAAACCCCAGAGAAGUCUAAUAGAGGGAGGGGGAGGCCUAGAAAAAUUAUCGUAAAGGAGAGCGAAGGCGAACAGGAAGUGGUCAGCGAUGGCUCGCCACCAGUUAAGAAGGCAAGAGGUCGACCUAAAGGCAGUUUAACAAAGAAGGUGCUCGAUGAGGAAGGCAAGCCUGAUAGUAACCUGCCCAAAAAACUUCCAGUCAAAAGGGGAAGGCCACGAAAAUACCCUCUGCCCACCCCUGAGGAGCUGAAUAAGCCAAAAGUAUGGAAGAAGCUCGGAAGGCCUCCCAAGAAUCCGCCUGCCUCUUUAUCCUCACCAAGCUGUGAUGUUGACAUCCCGAAAAAAAGGGGUCGUCCCCCAGGUAAUCCAAAAAGUGAUGUUGGCACCCCGCGGAAGAGUGAUGCCAGCAGUGAAACCAAGCUCGAGACCUCCCUCACCGAACAUCCAGAAUGAAGUAAUGCAUCUCCGUUUGGGGAAGAGCUGGCAGAAGAGAAGCUGGGGCAAAACACAAAGACAUCCACCGAGCACCGAGACAAUACAAAGAAAUAGCUUAUUCAGGAUGUUAGCCAGGGAUUAGUAAGCAACUAUUUAAUGAAUGAAAACAUAUAUUUUUUUAUUCGAUCAAUUGGUUUACAUUUUUAAAUUUGUUUUAGAUUUUUGUUCACACACUGCUUUUAUCAGGUAUAAAUAGCUGAUGUACAAAGCAGACUGUCAAAGGAAAGGAACAGCUGAGGUAUGAGCAGCUUAAGGGCCAGAUAUUUCCAUCAGCUGUUGGUAGAGACCAAAACGGAGCUAAAAUGAUUGGCUUCAAUCAAGACUACUGAUGAUGUUUCUGUGUAACUGCGUGAUGUGUAAGUUACCAACACUUACACUCACAACUUUUGUCAUACUGUUACAAAUAGUAUGCUUUUCCCUUUUUGAACGAGAAUUCAAUCAUUUGUAAGAUUGAAAUAAAAUGUUGAUUUUAUUU